rnacentral:rRNA from 1 species
GAAGCAAAGCCGCGAGGUAGAGCAAAUCUCAAAAAAACAAUCUCAGUUCAGACUGCAGGCUGCAACUCGCCUGCACGAAGUCGGAAUUGCUAGUAAUCGUAGGUCAGCAUACUACGGUGAAUACGUUCCCGGGCCUUGUACACACCGCCCGUCAAACCAUGAGAGUUGGCAACACCCGAAGUCGGUAGUCUAACCGCAAGGAGGACGCCGCCGAAGGUGGGGUUGAUGAUUAGGGUUAAGUCGUAACAAGGUACC